rnacentral:rRNA from 1 species
GACGAACGCUGGCGGCGUGCCUAAUACAUGCAAGUCGAGCGAAGUUUUUCUGGUGCUUGCACUAGAAAAACUUAGCGGCGAACGGGUGAGUAACACGUAAAGAACCUGCCUCAUAGACUGGGACAACUAUUGGAAACGAUAGCUAAUACCGGAUAACAGCAUUAACUGCAUGGUUGAUGUUUAAAAGUUGGUUUUGCUAACACUAUGAGAUGGCUUUGCGGUGCAUUAGCUAGUUGGUGGGGUAAAGGCCUACCAAGGCGACGAUGCAUAGCCGACCUGAGAGGGUGAUCGGACACACUGGGACUGAGACACGGCCCAGACUCCUACGGGAGGCAGCAGUAGGGAAUCUUCCGCAAUGGGCGAAAGCCUGACGGAGCAACGCCGCGUGAGUGAAGAAGGAUUUCGGUUCGUAAAGCUCUGUUGUUAGGGAAGAAUGAUUGUGUAGUAACUAUACACAGUAGAGACGGUACCUAACCAGAAAGCCACGGCUAACUACGUG